rnacentral:rRNA from 1 species
GACGAACGCUGGCGGCGUGCUUAACACAUGCAAGUCGAACGGAAAGGCCCUGCUUUUGUGGGGUGCUCGAGUGGCGAACGGGUGAGUAACACGUGAGUAACCUGCCCUUGACUUUGGGAUAACUUCAGGAAACUGGGGCUAAUACCGGAUAGGAGCUCCUGCUGCAUGGUGGGGGUUGGAAAGUUUCGGCGGUUGGGGAUGGACUCGCGGCUUAUCAGCUUGUUGGUGGGGUAGUGGCUUACCAAGGCUUUGACGGGUAGCCGGCCUGAGAGGGUGACCGGCCACAUUGGGACUGAGAUACGGCCCAGACUCCUACGGGAGGCAGCAGUGGGGAAUAUUGCACAAUGGGCGGAAGCCUGAUGCAGCAACGCCGCGUGCGGGAUGACGGCCUUCGGGUUGUAAACCGCUUUCGCCUGUGACGAAGCGUGAGUGACGGUAAUGGGUAAAGAAGCACCGGCUAACUACGUGCCAGCAGCCGCGGUGAUACGUAGGGUGCGAGCGUUGUCCGGAUUUAUUGGGCGUAAAGGGCUCGUAGGUGGUUGAUCGCGUCGGAAGUGUAAUCUUGGGGCUUAACCCUGAGCGUGCUUUCGAUACGGGUUGACUUGAGGAAGGUAGGGGAGAAUGGAAUUCCUGGUGGAGCGGUGGAAUGCGCAGAUAUCAGGAGGAACACCAGUGGCGAAGGCGGUUCUCUGGGCCUUUCCUGACGCUGAGGAGCGAAAGCGUGGGGAGCGAACAGGCUUAGAUACCCUGGUAGUCCGCGCUGUAAACGGUGGGUACUAGGUGUGGGGUCCAUUCCACGGGUUCCGUGCCGUAGCUAACGCUUUAAGUACCCCGCCUGGGGAGUACGGCCGCAAGGCUAAAACUCAAAGGAAUUGACGGGGCCCCGCACAAGCGGCGGAGCAUGCGGAUUAAUUCGAUGCAACGCGUAGAACCUUACCUGGGUUUGACAUGGAUCGGGAGUGCUCAGAGAUGGGUGUGCCUCUUUUGGGGUCGGUUCACAGGUGGUGCAUGGCUGUCGUCAGCUCGUGUCGUGAGAUGUUGGGUUAAGUCCCGCAACGAGCGCAACCCUUGUUCACUGUUGCCAGCACGUUAUGGUGGGGACUCAGUGGAGACCGCCGGGGUCAACUCGGAGGAAGGUGGGGAUGACGUCAAGUCAUCAUGCCCCUUAUGUCCAGGGCUUCACGCAUGCUACAAUGGCUGGUACAGAGAGUGGCGAGCCUGUGAGGGUGAGCGAAUCUCGGAAAGUCGGUCUCAGUUCGGAUUGGGGUCUGCAACUCGACCUCAUGAAGUCGGAGUCGCUAGUAAUCGCAGAUCAGCAACGCUGCGGUGAAUACGUUCCCGGGGCU